CUGAGGACCCUCCGCCAGAGUGGAGGCCGGAAGCUGAGAUUUGGGGUCCGGGAGGUCGGGUCGGAGGAGAAGGCUUCUGUGAUUCACCUGGGCUCAGGGUCGCGGCUGUGCGUGGGUCGCUGAGUGAAGACGCAACGCUAGAAACAGAGCGCCUCCCGCAGAGGUUCAACCUUCGGGACUGGAGAAGGGUUCCGACAAGUUUCGCCUCGGGAAGCAGCACACCCCUCCACCUUCAGCCUGUGCGGGCCUGGAAAUACUCAACGGGAGACUGCUGAUCGGGACCAAACAGCAAGGACUGACCAUCUCUUUGCCUCCAGCCCUGCUCCCUUAAACGGUCCCCCAACCCCGGACUCCUCUUGGUAAAGCCCAGGAUCUCCUCUCCCCAUGGCAGUCAGAAGAUUCUUUCCCAUUAUAGGUUAUUGCAAGAUAUUGGAUAUAGUUUCCUGUGCUAUCCAGAUAGUUCCCAAGGAGGCUUAAAAUGAAGGCAGCCCAGCAGGCUCUGGACAGAGUAAAGGCCAGGACCUGGGACACAGAUGGAAACAGGUGAGGUCUGUUGUCAGCUGAUGGGUUUAAAAACACAAGCUCCUAGGCUGCCUUUCAGAAAAGCCUCUAAUCUGUGUUUGGCCUUGGCAGCUCCCCAGAGGAGCUAGGACAGCAGAUUGUGGUACUAGGCAGGGAGGACUGUGUGUCCUGCCCUGCCCCCCAGAUCCUUUCCAUCUCUGGGGCUUGCUGUGCUGGGGGCUGGGAUCACAAAACAAAGUAGGCACGGCCUGAGCAUCUCACAGUGGUGGGGUUGGCAGACAUAACAGACGAGCAAUGCAGUGUGAUUUGAGCCAUGAUGGGGGUUGCAAAGAUGCUCUGGGGACCUUGAGAAGGGAGUGGGGGAAGACGUGCUGGGAGAGGUGAUGUAUAAGCUGAGCCUGAAAAGACAGGUCUCACUCAGAUGCACCAAGUGUGUGUCCAUCUCUUCCCUUUCACCCUCACAUGACUGGUGAAUAUCACCUCCUCCAGAGGCCCUCCUUGACUGACCCCUUGGAAAGUAGACCCUCUAAAAUCCCUGUUUUAUUUUCUUCAUAGCUCCUCUUAGCAGCUGGUCUUGUUUACAUGUUUGCCUACUAGCCUGUGGCCCUCCUCCAGAAAGAGUUCCAGAGACUGUGAACUUCUUGUUCCCUGUGAAUACUCAACACCUGUGGGAAGGCGGUCUGCCAGGUGGAUGAGAGUGGAGUUGAGAAGUGGAGAGGGAGGACACUUCUAGAAUGCAUUGGGCAGGUCAAGAUGAGAAGGAUUUGAAGGGUCCUGUGGCUCUGGCACCAGGGUGGAAGAUGGUGGAGGGGGUGAGCCUGAGAUGCAAACGGGAGGAGGAGAAAUCUAGAUAACUGCCUGGAAAGGUUAGAUUGAGAAAGAGAGCAGAAAUGUGGGGUGGGAACUAGAGAGGGACCACUCGUUUAUGGAGGGGUAUGAUCCAUAUCUUUACUAGGAAGGAGACCAGAAUUUUUUUAAACUAAGGGUCAGGAGCCAAUGAUGGUUGGAUGGCAUCACUGACUCAAUG